GACGGAGGAUGCAAGCGUUAUCCGGAAUGAUUGGGCGUAAAGCGUCCGCAGGUGGCAGUUCAAGUCUGCUGUCAAAGACCGGGGCUUAACUUCGGAAAGGCAGUGGAAACUGAACAGCUAGAGUAUGGUAGGGGCAGAGGGAAUUCCUGGUGUAGCGGUGAAAUGCGUAGAGAUCAGGAAGAACAUCGGUGGCGAAAGCGGCUCACUGGACCAUUACUGACGCUGAGGCACGAAAGCUAGGGGAGCAAACAGG
rnacentral:rRNA from 1 species